CCUCCUGGCCCGGCUCGGCCCGGCUUUGCAGGGGGGAGCGCGACUGAGUAGCGCGGAGGUUUUGCAAACUGGAUCCAGUCAGGAAUGGAGACUCCAUUGGAUGUGUUGUCAAGAGCAGCAUCACUUGUGCAUGCUGAUGAUGAAAAACGUCGACUUCAAUCAAGGUGAAGAAACAAGCCAGCAACGAUCAAGCAAAAUGAGAGGCACCAGAGCUAAAUGUCACCUGUUGUAGCAAAGGGAUU